CCAAUAGAAGGUUAACCCCGAUUCAUCCCCUAAAAAGGCUCCUUUUGGAAGAAAGGUGAAGGAUGGCCCUGUUUCGGAAGUAUAAGGACUGAGAUCUGAUGGGACACUAGAUACCUUGGCCAAAGGGCUAAACAUUCCUGGAUUCACAUAUGGCAUGGGCUUCUUGUUAUCCCCUCUUUUGGACAUUCUCCAACUUAUAAUGGCCUCCUUAAAAUACUACAAUUGAACACAAUAUUCUAUAUGUAGUGUGACUAGGGAGACAGCAGGAUAUAAUCUUCCCAGUCC
rnacentral:lncRNA from 1 species